rnacentral:rRNA from 1 species
GAUGGACCCGCGUCGCAUUAGGCUAGUUGGUGAGGGUAACGGCUCACCAAGGCAACGAUGCGUAGCCGACCUGAGAGGGUGAUCGGCCACACUGGGACUGAGACACGGCCCAGACUCCUACGGGAGGCAGCAGUAGGGAAUCUUCCGCAAUGGACGAAAGUCUGACGGAGCAACGCCGCGUGAGUGAUGAAGGCUUUCGGGUCGUAAAACUCUGUUGUUAGGGAAGAACAAGUGCUAGUUGAAUAAGCUGGCACCUUGACGGUACCUAACCAGAAAGCCACGGCUAACUACGUGCCAGCAGCCGCGGUAAUACGUAGGUGGCAAGCGUUAUCCGGAAUUAUUGGGCGUAAAGCGCGCGCAGGUGGUUUCUUAAGUCUGAUGUGAAAGCCCACGGCUCAACCGUGGAGGAUCAUUGGAAACUGGGAGACUUGAGUGCAGAAGAGGAAAGUGGAAUUCCAUGUGUAGCGGUGAAAUGCGUAGAGAUAUGGAGGAACACCAGUGGCGAAGGCGACUUUCUGGUCUGAUAACUGACACUG